AUCCCCACCCAUAACCGCAUCCCUCUCCUCUCAUAGAAGAUCUGAAGGGGACAAGGUAGCUUCGGUCCUGGUGCUCCGGUGCGAGGUAGGACGCCUCUACUCCCUCCGUUUCAGGUGCCUGCAUCUCUGACCAGGAGCUAGCCAUCCAUGGCGGCAAUAACAUCGAACUCACGAGUUGAACCCGAGGAAGAUAAUGAUGUCAAAGAAGAUGAUGAUGAAGGGAUCUCUAUUCAUAUGAGAGUUGUUGGAAGGCCGCUAGCAAAAAGCAUCUCAAUCAAGGGACUUAUGAGGUUGUUGUUAAUGUUGUGAUUAGACGGAAUGUUAUGCUUCCUUGUCCCAUUGCUAAGGUAGUGGAGCAAGAUUUCUUAUAUCUGGGUGAGGGCAUCAAUCAAUGUCGAGAGAAGGAAUCUCAUCACUGUAAUAUAUAGCUACCACAUUGAACCAUGUGUCUUUAUCUUGAGCAUAGCUAGACGGAAAAACAUCUUUCCUGAGCUUGCAUGUGAAGGAAGCAAACAAAAGGACUUCAUUCACAUGGAACCAUGAAGCCAACAAUCUAUCUCAACUAUAAGAUUUUAGAUUUCAUUUUGUACAACUCGUCUCUCAUACUUGCAUCUUUGACAAGUUCUUCUAUGAAACUGAUGUAUGGUGUCUUGGUGGUUCUGUUUAGAACAGACUGAAGUGUAUGUAUGUGACAAAUAGUUAAUGGAAUAAAAAAAG